ACGAAACUUCAAACGAGCAAAGCCUCUCUUUCGCUCGUUCUGGCAAUCCUUUCUCUUGAUCUUAUAUAUGCUUGUUUAUCCAUGAAAUUUUUCAUGAUCUGAUGCUGAGGUCCUGGUUGUAGGUCUCCAGAUCUUGCUUUUGGUUUUUGAAGACUUGUACUGGGUAUUCGUGCGCGAAUCAAAUACCGCUGCAUCAGCAUUGCAAGUAAUUAAAAAAAAA